GAGGUGACCAAGCUAACACAAAGCCAAAAAGGGGUUGUUAUAAUCAAGUUAGAAAAAGGUCAACCUAUGCCUAAGCCAAAAUUGGACCUAACUAAAGACUUUGUUUAUGACAUUGAUGCUAAAACACCAGAAAUUAAGGCUCAAAAUGUGGGGUUAGUCACAACCUUAACGGAGAAAGAUUUUCCUUUUAUUAAGGAUGUUGGGUUAAGUGUGAUUAGGGUUAAACUUGAACCUAAUGCUAUUAAGGCACCAUCAAACCUAAUUACCCCUGGGAUUCAGUUAAUUUACAUUGCUAGAGGAAGUGGAAAAAUUGAAAUUGUGGGAAUCAAUGGAAAACGUGUCUUGGAUGCUCAAGUUAAGGCUGGUCAUUUGAUUGUUGUGCCACAUUUUUUUGUGGUUGCUCAAAUUGCAGGUGAAGAAGAAGGAAUGGAGAGUUACUCUAUUGUGACAACUACCAAGUAAGUUAGAGUUUUAAAUGAGAAAUCAAAAUCACAAGUAACUCGACCAUUUUAAAUUGAAUUUAUUUAUCCAACGAAUUCAAUUUUUUAUUCAACUUAAACUCAUUUGAUUCGUAUAUUUUUUACAGACCUUUGUUUGAAGAGUUAGCCGGAAAGACAUCAGUAUGGGGAGCCUUGUCACCUAAUGUGCAACAAGUGUCUUUCAAUGUGGAUUCUGAGUUUAAUAAACUUUUCAUAUCUAAGGCCACAGAAACCACAAGUCUCAUUCUCCCUACCAUUUAGUUUGACUUGUUUAUAGUAUACCCCAAUAAUAUUCUUAUGUGUGGAAUAUUUCUUUUAUUGAAUAUGUGUGGAAUUUAUGUAAUAAGGUGUUUGAUUUUUUUAUUUUUUUUGUUAAUUAAUAAACCCUACCCAAAUGGUGGGUAGAGUUUGUAUGCCAUGAUGUUACAUCCAGGCACCACCAUUUAUAAAUUUUAAUUAUCGGAAAAAAAAAAAAGUUCUAUGAUAAGUAUAAAUAUUGAUUAAUGUGAAUUGUGAAACUACAUGGACAUCCAACCAUGAUAAGCUUAAUGUAUUUUGGUAAUACAUACGCAACAUGAUCUUAGUAUAUGUGAAUGUCGUGUCAAACAUGAGAUGUUGUAGAAGAGUUAUGAGCCUAGGGAAAGCUAUUGACUAAUCCAACUUAACUCUUAUCACUUGAACCCAAAGUCUGAAGGUGUUGUUAAAAAUAAUGAUAAUUAGAAAAUAAUGAUAAUUAGUUAGUAGUUUAGGUGAUUAGUUAAUUACUUGGUUGGUUAGUUAAGCUCCAAAUAUGUUUUGUUUUUAAGGGGUAUGCUCCAAGUAUGUUCUAUAAAUAGAAUAUUAAUGUAUUCAUUUUUAAAGUAUCUUUUAUCGAAAUUAGUCUCUGAGUUUGUUUGUUUUAUUUCUUCUUUAAAUAUCUAUAUAUAAAAAAGCAACCACAAAUCCCUCCAAAAUCUAAUUGAUGUGUCCUUCCUUAGUUUUACAUCGUCUGCUAAUCAAUUAAGAUGUAUGUCUUCAGACCUCUCAAUUGACAAUGAACAUUUCUUUUUAGACUCUUCAAUACCUCUAAGGUCUCUUAAAUAUGGUAGUUACGGGCUUUAGAGAUAUUAGAGAACGUAAGGAGAAACGUCCAUUGACAUAAAUCAAACCAUCAUGAGGAUUGUUUCAACCUAUUGACAUAAAUUUAUUUUUGGAUACUUGAAAGGAUUUCAUGUUACACACCACUUAUAUAUAAUUUUUUAAUAUUUGAAAAACACUCAAAUCUCUAACCCAACACCUCACACACAUUUCUUAAACAAGACCAACUAAACAUCUAUCAAUAGUUCUAUGUCUUUAUAUUUUAUUUUUUAAAAUAUUAAAGAGACGUAAGAUCCACUUAGAGAGAUGACUUAGUAAAACUCAUUUACUCUAUAAACCUCACUUGACUUUUCUAUCCAGUUAGGGUGUCUAUUAGGAAUAAAAGGCUGAUGAAGUUAAGCCUCCCUUUUAUUGAUGGUCUUAACCCAACAAACUUUAGGGUUCUGCUAUAUAACUAUUAUAUAAUUUCCUUUUUCAUAUCCUUAAUCAGUGCCUCGGAGGCAGCGGUUAGUAUUUCCCCAAACUUUAUUCACAUCAUUGCACUAUAAUGAGAAGAUAAAUUAAUUUUCUGUUCUAAUAAUAAAUUUGAAAAAAAAUUAAUAUAAAUAUAAAUUAUUCCAAAUUUAAUAUUACUCUCAAUUUUUUUAAUUUUAGCAAUAAAUAAAUAUAAAAGAAAAAUGUUAACGAGUGCUCCCGGGGUACUCUUUAAGCUAUCAAAAACAAGAAAUUAUUCUUUAAAAAAGUCAAAUAUUUCGAUUUCCAAAACAUUAAUUACAUGCAUUUUCAUAAUAUUCUUACUACUUAUGGUUCUUAAAGAGUUAACAAGACCCUAUAUAUUUAUAGAUGAAGAUUGUAAAAGUAUAGGAUAAAAGCACAUGUGAUGAAGCAUGAGUACGAUUGCACAAAAUAAAAAGGGUAUAUAUGGUGACAAUGGUGCAAUGUAAGAAUGAUCAUGAUUGAAAGGGAAAAUACAAAAGGGUAUAUAUGGUGUAUGUUGAAUGGGACAACUUCGGUGUCUCUAUUAUUGACGCUGUGUUGGACAAUGUUAGGAAGAAAACUAAGUCUGUAUUACUCAUUUGAUUUUCAACGGUUUUUAAGAUUUUGAUGACCUAAAACGAAACUAUAAUUUGGAUCCUAAUUAAUAAAUAGUAUUAAAAGUAAUUUUUUAUUACGUUGAGAAAUAAUCUAAUAAAAACAUUAGACUUUAUAUAAAAAAUAUUAAAUUUUUUAUUUAAUAUUCAAUUGAUCUAAUAGAGGUGGACCAAUUCAUUAUUGAGGGGAUGCAACUGUACACUUUAAAAUUUUUAAUUUUUCUUUUCAUUUUGAACCCCUCACAUUUUCAUUUUGCAUCAAUAAAUGUAUUUUUCACCGACGAAACCUAUCAUUUUUCACCUUGUUGUUGUUGACUGACAACUGACAUAUACAUGCAAUGGUACAAUGUUAACUGAAAAUUUUAUUUUUUGUUACAAUGUUAAUUGUAAUUUUUUGUUUACAAGGCGAAUGAGACAAACCAAACAAGAAAAGAAACGGAACAAAAGAAACAAAUUACUCCCUAAGGAAGAAAGUUCCAGAAGCAACGUUCCUUAGCAAAUUGAGAAGACCAUUUGGAGGGGAUGCAUGAAUUAACAAGUCAUGGUUCCCUUCUCUAAGGGUGUGAUAAAUAAAGACUUUGCUUUAAGAAAUAAGUUCUUUAAUGUACUGAAUUAAAACAAUAUAGAAAUGAUACUUCACAAAGGGGUCAUUGAUGAGGUUAAUGCAGAGAAGAUAAUCUGAGUAGUAUACAAACUCAUCAAUACCCAAGUCUUUGGCAGUGAUGAAAUCUUUGUAAAUUUCAGAAGUUCAGCGAACAUAAUAUAAAAAGAACAUGUAAGGUGAGUUGACAAAGCCGAUAAAAAGAAACCUAAAUUAUUUCAAAGGACGCCUCUAAAACCAGCCCUGGAUGAAGACCCAAGACAACUCUCAUCCACAUUUAGAAUGACACACUGAUGAUUACUAUUAUUCCACUUGAUUAAACAAUCAUCUGAAGCAACAUUAACAUUGUACGAGAAGCUAUACUUGAGGACUUCUACCGUAUUGAAUAUUGAAAAAGAGGCGGUUUAAGGACAUUGUUUUGCUAUUCAAGCACAUCAAAUUUCGGUGUCUCCAAGCCCAUCAAACACACGGUGAAAAGAUGAUUGAUUGUUGUUCCGGACUAGGCCGAGGCCCAAUCUCGGUUAAGACCCGACUCCAACUGAGAUUCAUUGCAGAGUGAAUCCAUAUUAUGGACAUGCACUAAAACCCACUAGAUCAUUGUCUAAACCUUUAACAUGGACUGUCCAGUUCAGAUCCAAUGUCGUGAUUAUUUCUAGAACACCAUUCAGGACACAUGUCCAAGUGAAGGCCUAACAGCCAAAAGCCCAUUUACCCACUAUAUAUACUAUUGCACAAUAUUGGAUCAUCUAUCUCCCUCUUUUCCCUAAUAUUUGAUUUCACUCUUUGAGCGUCAUAGCACGUGUAAGUACACCACCCUUCUUCGGUUGAGAAGGACUUACGACAGACUAUGACGGACCCAUGAUAGAUUACUCACUCUUCUUAGUAGCACUCAACAUAAUAAAUAUUAUUUAUAGGACUAAAAUAAAAUUAGUUAAAUAUUUUUUUUGUCCCUACAAAAUGAAGACCUUUUAAAUUUAAUUUUACUUAAUUUUAAUUGUUCUUUUAGUUCUUUCAAAAAAAUUCUACACAGUCUUAGUCCUUGAUAAAAUUAAAUAUGUUUAAUUACUCUUUAACGCAACUCUUAUGUUUUUAAACCAUUUUUUGCUAAAAUAUUUAAAUAUUAUAAAAAGUUUCUCCAUAAAAAUAAGUUCAAAUUUUAUUUCUAGGUCUAAAUUUUAGUUACUUUUUUCCUUGAAAAAAAUCAUAUUUAAUUAAUCUAAACUCUUAAAUUUUUUAAUAGGUUUUUAAAAGACAUGUUCAGAAAUUAUAAAUAGUAUAUUUAAUAAAAAAAAAAUUACGAAAUUUGGUAAAAGAGAGUGCCGUACCGUUUUGCUCAUCCGUGAAAUUUAGUAUGCACCGAAUUCGUACCAUUCAACAUUUCUCAAAAAAUUAAUACAUUGUUAAAUGACCAAAACUUUGCUUUUUUCCUGUUUUAUGUUUUGGUCCUGUUACAUACAAAACAAAACUAGGUAAUAUGGUCCUAUUACAGUAAAUUUCUUUUCAGACGCUACAGUGACCUAUCCUAUGUUGUGCAGGGACGCCACUCACUUGAUUGAAUUAUUGCUCUGUACGUUUGCAUUGAGGAAAAGAGUUUUCUUUUUCUUCUUUAACAAAAGAGUUAAGAGGACUAGCGUUCAAAGAAAACAAAGAACAAACUAAAACAUGAAUUUAACAUUUUUAAGCAUAUAAGCCUAUUUAAUAUUAUAAAAAAAAAAUUCUAAAUCUCGUUAGGAAAAGUUUUCAUAACAUGAAUGUUUCUUGAUUAUGUCGAAAUGAUAAAAUUAACAAGCUAACCAACACUCUGAUUUUCCUUCUAUAAAAUAUGUUAAAUGUCUAAUUUAAACAUGCCAACUCAAGAAUAACAUACAAUGAAUGCGACACAUCAAAGCAAGAGGAGCAGCCCUCUUAAUCAUGUUGUUAUGUCUCAUCUCAAAUCAUAUCUACAAGAAUCUUUGAAUCACUUUGUAAAACGAAAAGGGGUAUUGACACUCUCUUUUUAACAAUAUCUAUAACACUUACUCUUUUAUCGGAUAAAAUUCAUGUGGAUACAACACAUUUAAAAUGGAUCCCACAUAAAGUGAUAAUACACAUGGGUUCAUCCAAUAGAAAUUGAGUGUUAAAAGAGACAGCUAAAAACAGAGUGUUUCUAACAUUUUUCUUUACAACAAGAAAAACAAAUCUACAAUUAUUACCACAAGCUUUCCAAAUUACAUCAAUCGAAAAAAAUUUUGGCUUAAAUUCUAGCAUAUAUUUGUUUUUUUACUAAAGAAUAUUGUGUGUAUCAGGUAAAACCAAUAAUUUAUGAUUUGUUUGUUAUAAAUUAAAAUAAAAGUGAUUUUAUCAGUGAAUAAUUUAGAGAUUUAAAAGGAAAAUUAAGAUCUAUUUUGCGUUUGUUUAAAAAAGAAAUGUUACAAAAUUAACUCAAUCUUUCACACUUAUUUUCUCUCAUCUAGAAGAAUCUGGUUUUUAGAAGCUACUUCUAACAACUUCUAAUUCAAAGUUGUUUUUAUAUUAUAUCUUUUUAAAAAGUUGUAAAAUAGAUGCAAUACUCUUAAAAAUAAUUAUUAAAAAAAAAAAAAUUCCCUUCAAAAAGUUAUUUGAAAUGGACUCUUAAUUUAUAAUUUAUAAGCUCACAUGACAAAAAAAAAAAAAAAAAAACUUGUUUGAUAUUUCUAUUUUAUUAAAAAUUUAUAACUUAUUCCAAAGGUCGAUCCAAGAGUAAUGCCGCCAAUGCCCUCACUUUAGACCUAUCAACAAAAAGUUAAUGAUUAAGUGUUUUUUCACUAAGUAUAAACAAUGAAAUGAAGAUAAAUAUACAAUUUUAGCGAAUUAAAUUAACUUAAUAAUAAUAUAUAAAAGAUAUAUCAAAUUAAUAAAUUAAGUCACUAAUUUCUAAAUACUUUAGUAUUAUUUGAUAUACAUUUUAUUAUGAUUUAAGGAUAUUAUUUUAUGUUAUUUUAUAUUCAUCUUCUAAUUAAACCGCUAAUUUUACAACCCUUUAAUUAACUUAUCAAUUAUAACCUAUCCCCUAUUUUACAUCUCUCUUAUUUUCCAAGCCAAUCAUAAGCAAUCAACAACUUGGAACAGUAUCCUACUUCAUAUAUAUAUAUACCUCCCUCAGUCUUGAACUCAUGAACUGAGCUUGCGCGUUCACACUAUAUUUUUGAACUAAGGAACACUGAUAUUUAUAAAUUUUGAAAAGCUUUUUUAGGGGAGAAAAAAUUCAAUGGAGUUGGACCUAACACCUAAGGCAGCACAACCAUUGUUUGAAGGAGAUGGUGGUUGUUACUACAUUUGGUUAAGUUCUCAAGUUCCAGUUUUGGCUAAGACCAAUGUUGGUGCUGCCCAUCUUGUGCUUCACCCAGGAGGCUUAGCUCUUCCCCAUUAUGGAGAUUGUUCCAAAGUUGGUUACGUCGUAGAAGGUAAUAUUAGAGAAAUCUUAAACUAUUAAGUUUUGGCUUAAAUAUGUAUUUCCUUUCAAUUAAGGGUCGUUUAAAAAUUGGUCUAUGUAAUCGCUAAUCCUGACAAUUUACCCUUGCAUUGUUUAAUCAUUUAAAAUUUCGUCCCUCUCCCCACUUAAUCACUGCCACGUCACUAAUUUGAUGACGUGACAAUCACUGUCAUACAUGAAAUUUCAAUUUUACCCUUGAGCUUCCAAUUCUCUCUUCAAUAUUUUGUCCUCUUCUUAAAGGCAAAAUUGGAAUUUCACGUGUGAUAGUGAUUGCCACGUCAUCAAAUUAGUGACGUGGCAGUGAUUAAGUUGGUCAAAGGACGAAAUUUUAAAUGAUUAAUGAUUGCAAGGCUAGUUUGCAAGGAUUAGCAAAUACAUAGACCAAUUUUUAAACGAUAUCUAAUUGCAACGAUGAAAUACAUAUUUAAGCCUUAAGUUUUUUAUAAUGAAUGUGUUUAGUUAUUUAUUCAAAUGUCCUCAAAUGCAUGCAGGGACUAAUGGUGUAGUUGGAAUGAUACUCCCCAGCACCGGAAAAGAAGUAGUUUUGAAGCUUAAGCAAGGAGACAUUGUACCAGUACCCAUUGGAGCUGUUUCAUGGUGGUUCAAUGAUGGUGACUCAGACUUUAAAAUUAUAUAUCUUGGGGAAACUUCAAAUGCUCUUGUUCCAGGGGAAUUCACAUAUUUUAUCCUAGGUGGUGUUCUAGGACUUUUAGGAAGUUUUUCUAGUGAAUUAAUAAGCAAAGUAUACAAUUUUAAUAAAGAUGAGGUGACCAAGCUAACACAAAGCCAAACUGGGGUUACAAUAAUCAAGUUAGAAAAAGGCCAACCUAUGCCUAAGCCACAAAUGGACCUAACUAAAGACCUUGUUUAUGACAUUGAUGCUAAAGCCCCAGAAAUUAAGGAAAAAAAUGUGGGAUUAGUCACAAGCUUAACGGAGAAAGAUUUUCCUUUUAUUAAGGAUGUUGGGUUAAGUGUGAUUAGGGUUAAACUUGAACCUAAUGCUAUUAAGGCACCUUCAAACCUAAUUACCCCUGGGAUUCAGCUAAUUUACAUUGCUAGAGGAAGUGGAAAAAUUGAAAUUGUGGGAAUCAAUGGAAAACGUGUCUUGGAUUCUCAAGUUAAGC
rnacentral:lncRNA from 1 species